GUAUUUAGAGCCUCAUGCUCUGGGAGGCGAGGGGAAGCGUUGCAGGUUACCAGGUUACACCUUUGUUAGAGAGAGACACUCAAACACGAGAUUUCCAGUUAAGCUGAUCUGAGACGAGGACAUAAUGACCAGAUGCUCCAGGUCCAUCUUUACUGCCAUGACUACAUGUGGUGACCUCAUACAGAGCUGAUAAAACACCAGAGGUUCAGUCUACAGGCAGGUGAUCCAGAACCAGAAUCCAGAUCAGACACAUUUCUGAGAGUUUGUCUCUCUGUGGGAAUGAAAGAAACAUAAAGCUCUUCUGAUCCCAGGUCUUGUCACAGGAUCAUUCUGUGGACUGAUAAAACCUCAAAAAGAUUGUGCUGUCACUUAACAAUUCAACUUUCUGCCAGGCCUUUGGGAAGAAGCUGGCGAAGAGCAAAAGGUUUCAGGAAGCCAUUUUCCUCUGUUGUUUACAGAGACAGUCAGCUGUGACGCAUCCUCUGUAAUCCUCCCCGCGAUUUGACAAAGCUUUCACACUUCAUGCACACAAAGACACACAAUUCUGUGAAAAAUCUUUUUAAACCGCAUCUCCAAUUGGCGUAGCAGAAAACGUUGGGAAAUAUGCAUUCAGUUGAUUUUUUUUUCUGUAUUUUAUCAACGCCGUAAAAAGAAAGCAGAUUUAAGUAUGUUUAUUGCAGCCAUAAAUAACUUGACAAAUUUUCUCUGCCAAAGCUGGACAGCUUUUGGUAGAGGCAGUGUCAUGAUAUGGGCCAUCAUCUCUCUUAAAGCUGCAGCGUGCAACUUGCUUUAAGAGUUGCAUAUAUUUUAUGCAAUAAAAACAUAAUAAAUAUGUUUUUAUUGCAAAAAAAAAUAUUGUAUGAAACAGAUCAUUUGCCUUCUUCCAGCGCCAUCAAGAAACAACCAAUCAGAGCCAGGAGGCUGUUCUUAUCGCUGUUAAUCACUACUCCAUCUGAUGAUGCUCAUUCUUUCUCUCCCUCCACUUUUUGCUCAGAUUUUAACUUAUUUCAAUUAUUUUUAUGGAAACUACUAAUUCCACCAGAUUUUUUCCCACUUAUAACUUGGGAAAUUGUCUUUGGAGUGAAAUAAUCUACUUAUGGAACUAGAACUUUUUCAUCAGAGUAAGAAAUUAUUUACUUUAAAUAAGCUCUUAUAUUGCGCUGAAAAGUUACUGGACCAAAAACACUUGGUGAGAUUUUGUAUUCCUGCAGUAAAGAACUGAAACACCUUGAUGGGAAUCUUUCAUCCCCUUCAAACCGAAGAGUUCAGAAGUGAGUUGGGGACCAAAGCCUGGGCCGGAUCAUCUGUCCUGUGUUCUGCUCUCUGACUCAUGAAGGGAGGACAGGCCCCUGCAUGCAGCUCUCCUCCCCCUGCAUGCAGCUCUCCUCCCCCUGCAGCUCCUUUUUUCCAGGCUCCCAGUAUGUGGGUGGCCACUGGGCCAACUGGCAGCAAGAGCUCCACAGACGUAAAAAAAAAAAAGCUGGGAAAAAAACUUACAGAAGGAAAAAAGCAGGAAAAGGGACAUUUUAAGGAAGUGACGUAAACAAGUAAUAAAAUAACAGAUGAAAAGUCAGGAGUUUGUGAAAAGUGUAUUUCUUUGCGUUUUACAUGGACUGUUAUUUAAGAAAAUAAGCGCAUUUGAUUACUUUUAAAGGUUCCCCUUUAAAAGAUAAGUUACUUUUACUUCAGGAAGAAAAGCAGGAUUCAGAGCAGGAAGCAAACAUUUUUGGCACGUUUUUCCUCCCCAACUCAGCCACUCAGAGCAGCACCGGCUCCGUUUUUAUCCGGAAACUCUCGUUCACAAGUUGCUUUACUCACACAGAUGGUCAUAGCUCCUGCCCCCAUUCCUCCA